AUCGUAAGGUUUGCUGGAGGUAUCAGAAGUGCGAAUGCUGACAUGAGUAACGACAAAGGGGGUGAAAAACCUCCUCGCCGGAAGACCAAGGGUUCCUGUCCAACGUUAAUCGGGGCAGGGUGAGUCGACCCCUAAGGUGAGGCCGAAAGGCGUAAUCGAUGGGAAACGGGUUAAUAUUCCCGUACUUCUGACUAUUGCGAUGGGGGGACGGAGAAGGCUAGGUGGGCCAGGCGACGGUUGUCCUGGUUCAAGUGCGUAGGCUUGAGAGUUAGGUAAAUCCGGCUCUCUUUAAGGCUGAGACACGACGUCGAGCUGCUACGGCAGUGAAGUCAUUGAUGCCAUGCUUCCAGGAAAAGCCUCUAAGCUUCAGAUAGUCAGGAAUCGUACCCCAAACCGACACAGGUGGUCGGGUAGAGAAUACCAAGGCGCUUGAGAGAACUCGGGUGAAGGAACUAGGCAAAAUGGUACCGUAACUUCGGGAGAAGGUACGCUCUUGAUGGUGAAGUCCCU
rnacentral:rRNA from 1 species